AGCCCGAGCUGCUGUCCUGAACCCUAGCUUUAGGCAGAGAGAUUAAAAAAGCUUAGACUCUGGUACUGCAGGGUCUGGAGCGGAUUCCUUGCUACACUACUCAUUGGCUGUUUGACUUCGGACAAGAUCCUUAACGCUUCUUAGCCUCAGUUUUCACAACGGCAAGAUGCAGGUGAUAAUAGUUGCACACCUGCCUCAGAGGGUUGUGGGGAGGCCUGAAUGAGAGAGUAAAGCACUGGGAACAGCACAUAGCAGGGACUAAACAUCGCCCUGUUUAGUCGCAACAUUCCUGUUGCGACACAGGAAUCAGCUGCCUGAGCUGGAAGGUUGGUAAUAGCGACUUUUCGUGAGGUGUUUCCCCUUCACAAUGCACACCAAGGCCCCUUUCCGGUGUUCCCAGGUGAUGCCGGUAGGAUUAAUCAUAUUUCCUCUUCAGUCCAUAUUGCAUUGGUGACCAUCACCCAUUGCUUUAGCUGUCUAUCGCUCUAGGACAAGCCACCCCAAAACUGAGGGGCUCAAAACCACAACCAUCUCCGUGCCUGCCAUCCUGUGCUUUGGGGACCGGGUAGGACUUGCAAGCGAUGCUUCCCUGACAUGGUGUCAGUUGGGUGACUCGGCUCCUACCCACGUGACCUCUCUUUCCCUACAUCCCUCACCAUUCGGUGAUGGCGCUGAGUUUCCAACAUGGCCGCUGGCUUCGAAGGGGGCACCGCGGAUGCGGAAGCGGAAACGGGGAAGCCUCCUGAAGUCAGGGCUCAGGGUAGCCGCCUGUUGGUCACACAAGCCUCCCAGCAGCCUGAGUUCGGGGGAGGAAAUUGGUUCUACCUCUGGCCAAGCUAAACAGCGCGCAGUCCCGUGUCGGCCGAACUGCCCAGGAAGGAGAAUGCAGGGGGCUGAAGCAGGGCCCAGAAAGGCAGCAAGGGCCCCACCUCAGCGAAGUGCAUUCAUGGGCCUCGGGGGCUCUGGCCCAGUCCUGGCCUCUCCGCACAGCCGAAGGCAAACCGGAUACCCUUCUUUUCUCGGUGGCGGUGGAUUCCUGCAGCUGUGUCCUCAGCCAGGGAUUGAAAACCAAGGGAGGCAGUGGGGCUGGGGGUGUGGGUGGGAGGGGUGAACAAACUUUCCACUUUACCAUGCGCUUGGAACAAGACAAAUCCCUAAAUUGUCACUGCAGUUUAAGCAACCCCAGCCAUGUGGAAACUCGGGAGGCCUGAAGCCAGGACCAUUUGUCAAGCAUAUUGGAUUCCAAAAAGGAAUCUUAAUGGUUACCAAGAAAACCUUGCACUCUUUGGGAGGGAAACAGAGCUCUGUUAGGAGUUAGGCAGAUAUGCUUCCCUGGAACACUUCUGCCCCCUGGUUUAGGCUGGUUAUUUAUUCUUGUGAGCUGUGCUUUGGGGACUGGCAAACUCCAGAUGAGCCACAUUAAUCCCCAUCCUGGUGGCACAGACAUUGCAGACUGUGAGGCUGGGCGGUGGGGGGAUGGUGCUGCUUGGUUACCAGCUGGGAGUAAUGGCUUAAACCGAGAAGAAGGGGCAUAAGGACUCAAGCUGGGGUCCUGGCACCAAUGAGGGGCCAAACCCAACGGCUGCCAUUUCCCAGCUAUCCCAUCUUCGAGGCUUUAUUUUCUAGGAGCCUCUCGAUUUCCUCAUGUGGAGAACAGAGGUAAUCACUCCUUCUCGUAGGGUUGUGGGAGGACCAUGUUCUUCAGCACCACACGAGGACUUCAUAAAUAAGCUCUUAGUGGUCACUUAAGAGCAUGUGAUCCAAAGCUGUACCUACAGUCCUACAUUCAUGGAACUUUCCCAGGAGAAGAAUUCAUUAACACAAAUCCCCAUUUUACGGCGGCGAUACAGAACAAAGAGACCACGUGCACUCAGAAGAAAGACAUUUGAGUUCAUGGGCAUAGAUCUCAAGGGAAUCAGACUAGCAGUUAUCAAAUGCCAAAUUAUUUGUCUCACUCACUGCAUGGAAACCUUGUAGAAGAAUGUUCUUUUCUCCACAGCUGACUGUAUUGAUGCAGAAGAACAGUCUCAAGGUAAAUGUAGUUUUAAGAGACAUUAACGUCCUCUGCACAAGCACGUUCUUGAACGUAAGCACCUGGAGCUUGAGCAGAACGAGUCCGAAGGUGUCCAGGUCGGUAGUUGAAGAGGAUCUUACUGAAAGCCUCACACUUUUUACACACCUUCACCCAGUAAUUUUCAAGAGUGUGAACUAUCUAUAAUUUCUCCUUUACGGGCAGUAAAUAAUUACUGCUUUGUCAUAAGAAAAAAGAAUUGUAUUUUAACUGAGAGAGGAACCAGUGUUCACAGUCUUGAGUAUGAUCCUACAGAAAAGGGAGAUGAAUCUUUGGCUCUCCAUUCUGGUAGAUUCAAUGCUACCUUACCAGUGGAAGGGGAACUCAGACAUACUUAGAAGCUGCUAGGUUGAAACUAUCUGGAAGAGCUCAUCAGACCAGCCAGGGCCAUCCCUGGGUGAACUAGUCCACAGAAGGCAGAGCUAGGGCCAUCCCUGCGUGAGGUGGUCACCACAGCCUGGCUGACCGGCAGGGUUAGAAUCAACAAGCACAGUAAGUCUUCCAAAAAUAAGUGGGCCAGAGAGAAGAGCUGCCUUAAGAGAGAUCCUUAACUGGGGCCAACUUUAUUCUAGAGCCUUCCAUCCAAAGUUCAAAUCAGGGCUAUUCAAUCACCCCUAUCAGCAUGAUUCUUUUGAAGGGCUGAGGUCGGGCAAGGCAGUUUUGAGUCUCCCGUGAAAAGUGGAUGCUCUUUAUUAGAACUUCAACUUCUACACUUUGAAGACAGAAUCACACACUAAAGCCAGCUUGGGAUGUUCCCAGAUACCUGGGCUUCUUUGUUCCUGGAGAGUUUGGGUUCCAGGCCUGAAGAAAACCAGGAGCAUUACAAGUUAUCCAUCACGUCUGCAUUCAGGAAACCUCAUCCUUCUUGACUCAGUUUACCCUGAGACAAUAGUAGAGUCCAUGGCCUCCCAGACCUACUCCAUUGGGGAAGCAAAGCCUGGUUUGGUUUCAUGCUUCUAGCAGAAGAAUCAGGCAGUUAAACCAAAACUUUCUGUAGGCUCUGGACCUUUCUAUCUACUGGUGCAACCAGAUCAUAGAUUCCAGAAUAAAGCUUAUCUCAAAUUCUCUAUUUUGUCUUAC
rnacentral:lncRNA from 1 species